CGCAUCUUUGGCUUUGAGACUUGAGAGAGAGCAGGAAGUGAAGAGGAGACAUGGCGAAACAGCUGGGAACCACAGGGGAGUUCUUCCGGAGGAGAGACGAGUGGAGGAAGCAUCCGAUGCUGGGCAAUCAGCUGCGGCACGCGACUCCUGGCCUUGGAAUCGCCCUCGUCGCCUUCGGCAUCUAUCUCGUCGGCGAGCAAGUCUACAACAAGCUCUAUGCGCCUUCUCAUCACCAUUCCUCUGCGCCUUCACAAUCUCAAUCUCACUGAUACCGAGUCACUCUUCUCAAUUUGAGAUGAGGGCAUGGUGGAAGGACUGAGCUUUUACAUGUUUCAAUUUAUCUUUUUGUGGAUUGCUUCAAUAAGCUCUCAAUGAGUACAAGCUUCUUUAGAGUUAAUGAUGUCCCUUUGUGGAACUCAUGGUAGAGAUGUUCUGUUAGUGUCUGGUUCACUGUCUCAUUACGUGAAAGUCAUCAGAUGUUGUGAACGUAUUGCAUAAGAUUUUACUUCUUACAUUCACAUUGUGUUUUAAAUUGUGCUUUGCAUGGUGCAAAGAUAUGGUUUUAAUUGCAAUUUAAAUGCUUGUUAUUUGAGUGAUC